GGGCGACGGUUGUCCCGGUUUAAGCGUGUAGGCUGGUUUUCCAGGCAAAUCCGGAAAAUCAAGGCUGAGGCGUGAUGACGAGGCACUACGGUGCUGAAGCAACAAAUGCCCUGCUUCCAGGAAAAGCCUCUAAGCAUCAGGUAACAUCAAAUCGUACCCCAAACCGACACAGGUGGUCAGGUAGAGAAUACCAAGGCGCUUGAGAGAACUCGGGUGAAGGAACUAGGCAAAAUGGUGCCGUAACUUCGGGAGAAGGCACGCUGAUAUGUAGGUGAAGUCCCUCGCGGAUGGAGCUGAAAUCAGUCGAAGAUACCAGCUGGCUGCAACUGUUUAUUAAAAACACAGCACUGUGCAAACACGAAAGUGGACGUAUACGGUGUGACGCCUGCCCGGUGCCGGAAGGUUAAUUGAUGGGGUCAGCGCAAGCGAAGCUCUUGAUCGAAGCCCCGGUAAACGGCGGCCGUAACUAUAACGGUCCUAAGGUAGCGAAAUUCCUUGUCGGGUAAGUUCCGACCUGCACGAAUGGCGUAAUGAUGGCCAGGCUGUCUCCACCCGAGACUCAGUGAAAUUGAACUCGCUGUGAAGAUGCAGUGUACCCGCGGCAAGACGGAAAGACCCCGUGAACCUUUACUAUAGCUUGACACUGAACAUUGAGCCUUGAUGUGUAGGAUAGGUGGGAGGCUUAGAAGUGUGGACGCCAGUCUGCAUGGAGCCGACCUUGAAAUACCACCCUUUAAUGUUUGAUGUUCUAACGUUGACCCGUAAUCCGGGUUGCGGACAGUGUCUGGUGGGUAGUUUGACUGGGGCGGUCUCCUCCUAAAGAGUAACGGAGGAGCACGAAGGUUGGCUAAUCCUGGUCGGACAUCAGGAGGUUAGUGCAAUGGCAUAAGCCAGCUUGACUGCGAGCGUGACGGCGCGAGCAGGUGCGAAAGCAGGUCAUAGUGAUCCGGUGGUUCUGAAUGGAAGGGCCAUCGCUCAACGGAUAAAAGGUACUCCGGGGAUAACAGGCUGAUACCGCCCAAGAGUUCAUAUCGACGGCGGUGUUUGGCACCUCGAUGUCGGCUCAUCACAUCCUGGGGCUGAAGUAGGUCCCAAGGGUAUGGCUGUUCGCCAUUUAAAGUGGUACGCGAGCUGGGUUUAGAACGUCGUGAGACAGUUCGGUCCCUAUCUGCCGUGGGCGCUGGAGAACUGAGGGGGGCUGCUCCUAGUACGAGAGGACCGGAGUGGACGCAUCACUGGUGUUCGGGUUGUCAUGCCAAUGGCACUGCCCGGUAGCUAAAUGCGGAAGAGAUAAGUGCUGAAAGCAUCUAAGCACGAAACUUGCC
rnacentral:rRNA from 1 species